AAUGAACGUUGGCGGCGUGGAUUAGGCAUGCAAGUCGAACGCUUUAUGUAGCAAUACAUGAAGAGUGGCGUAAGGGAGAGUAAUCCAUGGUUAGCUACCCUCGGGUCUGGGAUAGCGGCGGGAAACUGCCGGUAAUACCAGAUGACAUCUUCGGAUCAAAGGUGUGAUUCCGCCCGGGGAGGCGACCGUGUCCUAUCAGCUAGUUGGCGGUGUAAUAGACCACCAAGGCUAAGAUGGGUAUGGGGCGUGAGAGCGUGCCCCCACUCACUGGGACUGAGACACUGCCAGACACCUACGGGUGGCUGCAGUCGAGAAUCUUCGGCAAUGGACGCAAGUCUGACCGAGCGACACCGCGUGCGGGAUGAAGGCCUUCGGGUUGUAAACCGCUGUCGUAGGGGAGGAAGCGACCGUGAAGAACGGAAGUUGACCGAUCCUAGGAGGAAGGGCCGGCUAAUCUCGUGCCAGCAGCCGCCGUAAGAC
rnacentral:rRNA from 1 species